GGUUUGGUGGUCUAGUAGUAUGAUUCACCCUUAGGGCUUUCGAAGCGCUUGGGUGAGGUCCCGGGUUCAAUUCCCGGCCAGACCC
rnacentral:tRNA from 1 species